UUCCGACGAGCUUCUUCGGCAAGCUCCUGGACUUCUCGGAUUUGUUCCCGCAGAACCUCCGACGACCGUCCGGACUUCCGUCGAACUCUCGAACUCCCAACGUGAUCAUAGUCUUGACUCCGGCGCAACUCCUGCUGCAUGUCUUACUUUCAUCGUAGUUAAUCCUACACACGUAUAACAAAACUUCGAUCGAGACAAU
rnacentral:lncRNA from 1 species